CGGAGUGAAGAGCCCUUCUCUAGUCACACAGGAGUCCGAGUAUUUCCCAGAUAUCCCUAGUGGCUAGCUGGCUUCAGUCUGGGACUCAGUCCCUACAGUUCCUGCCAGGCCUUGCCAGCCGGGGCGAGGGUUGGGACACUCCUGGUGGCCUACGCUUCUCUGGGCUGCCCCUCCCGCUGUGAACCCUGUAUUUGUCCCGCAAGUUUUGACUCAGGUAGACUCCCUGGGUACAAGGUUGCCUGCUCAGUAGUCGGGCACGAGCUGCUCCGAUGGGGGAAGGAGGUUGUCUAUCCCAUAGUUGGAGAGGGGCCCUCUCUGCCACAGUAGGCGAUUUGGGCUACGGCCAAGUUGCCAACAGCUAGCUCUGCUGAACCACUUCUGGCCCCGUGGGGUCAGCGGGGGUUCCCCUGAGCGCCGGAGCUCACAGGUCUCGCCUUGUCCCGAAAGCCCCGCAAUCGAGGCGGAGGCGACCGAGCCCCCGACGCGCCUAGAACGUUGCCACAAGAAGGGGGAACGUCGGAACAGUGCAACACGGGGCGGCGGCCGAGGCGGCUGCAGGAGGGCGGGCGGGGGGCAGGGCUCCGGGGGACCGGGCGGGCCAUGGCGGAGGACGGCGAGGAGGCGGAGUUCCACUUCGCGGCGCUCUAUAUAAGCGGGCAGUGGCCGCGGCUGCGCGCAGACACUGACCUUCAGCGUCUCGGCUCCAUCGCCAUGGCGCCUUCCAGGAAGUUCUUCGUUGGGGGGAACUGGAAGAUGAACGGGCGGAAGCAGAAUCUGGGGGAGCUCAUCGGCACUCUGAACGCGGCCAAGGUGCCGGCAGACACCGAAGUGGUUUGUGCUCCCCCCACUGCCUAUAUCGACUUCGCCCGGCAGAAGCUAGAUCCCAAGAUUGCUGUGGCUGCACAGAACUGCUACAAAGUGACUAAUGGGGCCUUUACUGGGGAGAUCAGCCCUGGCAUGAUCAAAGACUGCGGAGCCACGUGGGUGGUCCUGGGGCACUCAGAGAGAAGACAUGUCUUUGGGGAGUCAGAUGAGCUGAUUGGGCAGAAAGUGGCCCAUGCUCUGGCUGAGGGACUCGGAGUAAUCGCCUGUAUUGGGGAGAAGCUAGAUGAAAGGGAAGCUGGCAUCACUGAGAAGGUUGUUUUCGAGCAGACAAAGGUCAUCGCAGAUAAUGUGAAAGACUGGAGCAAGGUUGUCCUGGCCUAUGAGCCUGUGUGGGCCAUUGGUACUGGCAAGACUGCAACGCCCCAACAGGUAACCGAGCCCAGGAGCCCUGCCCUCAUCCCAGCCUGCCUCAGUAGGUUUGGACAGACACAGACCAUCUUGGGCAACCCCUUAUUUCAAAGAGACGGAGACCUUGGGCCCAGAGACAGUGACUUGUCCAAGGGCAUCCAGUCCAGGGCCUGGCAUGGAUCGGAGCCCUGGUACUCUGACUCAGCCAGAAACCACACUAAGUGUCCACUGGUGCCAGUGAUUCUUCCUCUUAGACAGAAACGGUCUUCCUUAGUCCAGCUUCUUGUUCUAGGCCCAGGAAGUACAUGAGAAGCUCCGAGGAUGGCUUAAGUCCAACGUCUCUGAAGCAGUGGCUCAGAGCACCCGUAUCAUUUAUGGAGGCUCUGUGACUGGGGCAACCUGCAAGGAGCUGGCCAGCCAGCCUGACGUGGAUGGCUUCCUUGUGGGUGGUGCUUCCCUCAAGCCCGAAUUCGUGGACAUCAUCAAUGCCAAACAAUGAGCCCCAUCCACCUUCCCUACCCUUCCUGCCAAGCCAGGGACUAAGCAGCCCAGAAGCCCAGUCACUGCCCCUCCCCCGCACAUGCUUCUGAUGGUGUCGCCUGCUCCUUCCUGUGGCCUCAUCCAAAUUGUACCUUCCUUUACUAUCUUCAGCCUGUAAUGGUUGGGACCAGCCCAAUCCCUUCUCCACUUACUAUAAUGGUUGGAACUAAAUGUCACCAAGGUGGCUUCUCCUCGGCUGAGAGGUGGAAGGGGUGGGAUUUGCUCCUGGGUUCCCUAGGCCCUAGUGAGGGCAGGAGAGAAGCCAUCCUCUCCCUUCUUACACAGUGAGGCCGAGAUCCUCCCCUCCGAAGGCAGGAGUGCCGCCCUCUCCCAUGGUGCCCAUGCCUGUGUGCUGUGUACGUGAACCACCCACAUGUGAGGGAAUAAACACCUGGCACUAGG